rnacentral:rRNA from 1 species
GAUGAACGCUGGCGGCGUGCCUAAUACAUGCAAGUCGAGCGAACGGACGAGAAGCUUGCUUCUCUGAUGUUAGCGGCGGACGGGUGAGUAACACGUGGAUAACCUACCUAUAAGACUGGGAUAACUUCGGGAAACCGGAGCUAAUACCGGAUGAUAUUUUGAACCGCAUGGUUCAAAAGUGAAAGACGGUCUUGCUGUCACUUAUAGAUGGAUCCGCGCUGCAUUAGCUAGUUGGUAAGGUAACGGCUUACCAAGGCAACGAUGCAUAGCCGACCUGAGAGGGUGAUCGGCCACACUGGAACUGAGACACGGUCCAGACUCCUACGGGAGGCAGCAGUAGGGAAUCUUCCGCAGUGGGCGAAAGCCUGACGGAGCAACGCCGCGUGAGUGAUGAAGGUCUUCGGAUCGUAAAACGCUGUUAUUAGGGAAGAACAUAUGUGUAAGUAACUGUGCACAUCUUGACGGUACCUAAUCAGAAAGCCACGGCUAACUACGU